UUUUUUUUGUCACCUCUAAAAUUAUUUUCUUCUACCCUAUUCUGUACCGUCCAGAAGCAGCCUUCCAGAAUCCAGAUUCAUCACUUCCAGUGCGAGGCUUCAAGCUCCCACCACAGGUCAUCGUCUGGUCCUUCGCAACACCUCAGUAUCUCGGUCCGGUCCGUCGCAGGCUCGCAGCACCUCUAGGCUCUUGCCAUCAGCCAUGGCAACGCUGGCUGAUUCUUUUCUUGCAGACCUUGAUGAACUAUCUGACAAUGAAGCUGUUGUUAUUGAGGAAGAAGAUGUCGAUGCUGGAAAUAUGGAAGAAGAUGUUGAUGGGGAAAUGGCAGACAUAGAAAAUCUUAACUAUGAUGAUCUGGAUAGUGUUUCGAAAUUGCAGAAAACCCAGAGAUAUGUUGAUAUUAUGCAGAAAGUGGAAGACGCGCUCCAAAAAGGCUCUGAUAUCUCAAAUCUUGGAAUGGUUUUGGAAGAUGAUCCUGAAUAUCAGCUGAUUGUGGACUGUAAUGCUUUGUCAGUUGAUAUUGAGAAUGAAAUCAUUAUUAUCCACAAUUUUAUUCGUGACAAGUACAGGUUGAAAUUUCCGGAGCUUGAAUCACUUGUGCAUCACCCAAUUGAUUAUGCGCGCGUUGUUAAGAAAAUUGGGAAUGAAAUGGAUUUGACCCUGGUUGAUCUGGAAGGGCUAUUACCGUCAGCUAUUAUUAUGGUGGUGUCAGUUACAGCAUCGACCACAAGUGGCAAGCCUCUUCCUGAAGAAAUUCUUGAUAAGACCAUUGAUGCAUGUGAUCGAGCUCUUACUCUAGAUGCAGCAAAGAAAAAAGUCCUUGACUUUGUAGAAAGUCGAAUGGGAUAUAUUGCACCAAAUCUUUCUACUAUUGUUGGGAGUGCUGUUGCAGCUAAACUUAUGGGGACUGCUGGUGGUCUUGCUGCAUUAGCUAAGAUGCCUGCAUGUAAUGUUCAGCUUCUUGGUGCUAAGAAAAAGAACCUUGCUGGGUUUUCCACUGCAACAUCACAAUUUCGUGUAGGGUAUAUUGAGCAAACGGAGAUAUUUCAAUCUACACCCCCUUCUCUGAGGAUGCGUGCUUGCCGGCUCUUGGCUUCCAAGUCAACACUUGCAGCAAGAGUAGAUUCCACAAGAGGAGAUCCAUCAGGGAACAAUGGAAGAGCCUUACGGGAAGAGAUCCGUAAGAAAAUUGAGAAGUGGCAAGAGCCUCCUCCUGCAAAGCAACCCAAACCACUUCCAGUGCCUGAUUCUGAGCCUAAAAAGAAGAGAGGUGGUCGUCGACUGAGGAAGAUGAAGGAAAGAUAUGCAAUAACAGACAUGAGGAAACUUGCAAAUAGGAUGCAAUUUGGUGUACCUGAAGAGAGUUCUUUAGGGGAUGGUCUGGGAGAGGGUUAUGGAAUGCUCGGUCAGGCUGGGAGUGGCAAGCUACGUGUAUCAGUUGGUCAGAGCAAACUUGCUGCAAAAGUUGCUAAGAAGUUUAAGGAAAAGAAUUACGGAAGCAGUGGUGCUUCCUCUGGAUUGACAUCAAGUUUAGCAUUUACCCCUGUGCAGGGGAUAGAACUAUCAAAUCCACAGGCUCAUGCACACCAACUUGGCAGUGGAACUCAAAGCACAUACUUUUCUGAGACAGGAACAUUUUCAAAGAUCAAGCGGACCUGAAUCUUCAUGUGUUCAUCUCUUCUUGCCAGGCUUAUUCUGCAAACCUUUGUUUUCAUCUCGCUUGGUCAGUAGUUCCACUUUUGGUGGAGCACAUUCGAGGCAUGAAAUGUUUGGGCACAAUGGUUUCAAUGGUGGAGGUCUUGGUGGUGCUUGGUACUUCCUAAGAUUGGUUCCUCUGUUUGCUGCUUGUGUGGUUGAUGAUGGAAAUAUGUGGCUUGGUAUGGUGGUUUGAUGCGCGAGGAAUCGAUUUCAGGUGGGGGGAGGGUUGACUGUGAGAUUGUAUCUUGCUU